UGCAUAAUUAGAUAGAACAAUAACGUUUUAAUGCACAGAGAAAGGGACACUUUAAACCGUUAAUUGUACAGUUUAACUAAACAUAUUCGCCUACAAUUUACAUGCAAUAUAGCCGAAAUGACGCCCCCACUUAAACCCAGUUUAAUUCUGCCGAUUUGAAAAAGUACUAACGUGUCUUAUUUAUAUUUUUAAUGAAAUGAUAAAAUUAG
rnacentral:lncRNA from 1 species